rnacentral:rRNA from 1 species
UACGGAGGGUGCGAGCGUUGUCCGGAAUCACUGGGCGUAAAGGGCGCGUAGGCGGUCCGGUAAGCGCGUGGUGAAAGCCCGGGGCUCAACCCCGGGUCGGCCGUGCGGACUGCGGGACUCGAGCACUGUAGAGGCGGGCGGAAUUCCGGGUGUAGCGGUGGAAUGCGUAGAGAUCCGGAAGAACACCGGUGGCGAAGGCGGCCCGCUGGGCAGGAUGCUGACGCUGAGGCGCGACAGCGUGGGGAGCAAACGAGG